UUAGCAUCUUGGCCUUUUGGCUAAGAUCAAGCAGUUUUGGCACCAAAGGAAGGGUGUCAAGACUGGCUCUGGCCCUCCUGGUGCCAGCCUGAUAUUGCAGUUCUUCCAUGCCCAGUGCUAGUACCCUGUGGAGGGAACACCUGCCCAUUUUUCUUUAAGGAUCCAAAAAACCCCCCCAAAAAACUCACAAAAAAAAAAGUGUUUCCCAGAAACAUUUUUGGCACUGGGGAGGGUAUCAGAACUUGCUCUGGCCUCUGAGUCCCAGCCUGGUAUUGCACUACUUCCAGGCCUGUUGCUCAUUCC
rnacentral:snRNA from 1 species